UAUUGCAGAAUGGGCGAAAGCCUGAUGCAGCAACGCCGCGUGCGCGAUGAAGGCCUUCGGGUUGUAAAGCGCUUUUGGCUGGGAAGAGAAAGGACGGUACCAGCAGAAUAAGCCUCGGCUAACUACGUGCCAGCAGCCGCGGUAAAACGUAGGAGGCGAGCGUUAUCCGGAUUUACUGGGUGUAAAGCGUGUGCAGGCGGUUUACUAAGUUGGGUGUGAAAGCUCCUGGCUCAACUGGGAGAGGUCGCUCAAGACUGGUAGACUGGAGAGCAGUAGGGGAAGGUGGAAUUCCGGGUGUAGUGGUGAAAUGCGUAGAUAUCCGGAGGAACACCAGUGGCGAAGGCGGCCUUCUAGACUGUAUCUGACGCUCAGACACGAAAGCUAGGGUAGCAAUCGGG
rnacentral:rRNA from 1 species